rnacentral:lncRNA from 1 species
UCGCUCGACGCUAUUUCCGUCUUCGAGGCUGCGGCCGUCGAUGGCCGCGCGUGUGUACGGAUGGUCUCGUUAUACGCAUUGGUGAGGGUACCCCUUGUUGAUACCCUCGACACUCACCCUACUCUAAUAAGGCUUUAAUAUCUGGAGCUCAUAGGUGGGAGAUAAAGUAUACAUACUUACAAGACAUUUAUUGUAUAGUCAAACCAUGGAUCCAAAGAAACAAAUCAAUAAGCCAAAUCAAGAUGUGCAUGUCUGGCGAAUGAAUGGUGCAUGGUGAUGAUGAUGAUAACAAUGGUGAAAGUCUAAUUCUACUUUUGCUCUUUUGAGGGGAUACAUACCUUCCUUGCUUUUUGAAACUUUAUGAGGAGAAUGAGAUGCUCUUCUUUUUCUUUUCUCUCAGGUGGGUAUCUUGUACCCCUAAUUCUAUUGUCGGACACUUGUCCAUUUUUACCUCUCGUCUCACUCUCUUUCUUUCGAGGUUCCGGGCACUUGCCCCUUUUUAUUUCCUCGUUUAUUUUUUAUUUUUUUUUCUUUUCUUCUCUUUUCUCUCUUUUUUCAGAGCACUCAUCUCUUGAGAUAAUAUAGCAAGUGGUAGUAGCAAGAUAACUUGAGCAUUUAUUUCACAAGGGAAAACAGAAAUAUUUUUGGCUAUUCUCUCCCGGAUUAGGAGUAGAAUAUUUUUGGGUGGUUCUAGAGAUGGACAUGGAUGGAUAUAUGUGGAUGGUACUUUCGGAGUAGAAGUAGCAUAUAUGAGUGAACGUGCAAGUGAAUCUUGAUUUUAACCGCAUGACAAGCUCCUAAGGGUCUACACAGCUUGACCACACUCAAUGCUCAUAAGCAGUAAAAAGUAAAUGUAUGGUUCAUAGUCUAAUAAACAUGUAUAUAUGGCUGUGGUAGGAAUUUAAACUCUCAUCAUACAGGAACUCAUCAUGCAAUAUUUUAAAGAUUUUUUAAAGAUAAAAUUCUCCAGAAUUCUAGCAUCUCUAAGAACAGAUAAACAGCAGCUCAACCUUCCGAUAUCAUAUCCAUUAACAACUUAGAUUUUAGAUCAAGUUUUCAUCCCACAAGUUUAGAUCUAGAGCAAACUUUAAAUUAUAACAGUUAUGUCUAAACUUGAGAGAGAACUUCAAAUUUGCAAAUUAGGCAGAGCAACUAUUCAUCAUAUCCAUGCUAGAGUUUUAUUAUUAAGAUUCAGAUUAGCAUAGCCACUUUAUUUAUUUAUUAAACACACUAAGCAAAAGAUAUAUAUAUAUAUAUAUAUAUAUAUAUAUAUAUAUAUAUAUAUAAGCACG